GCCGAUGUAGCACAGUGGUAGUGCAGUGCUUUCGUAAAGCAAAGGUCGGGGGUUCAAAUCCCUCCAUCGGCACCA
rnacentral:tRNA from 1 species